GGGUGCUAUACAUGCAAGUCGAGCGAACAGAUGAGAAGCUUGCUUCUCUGAUGUUAGCGGCGGACGGGUGAGUAACACGUGGGUAACCUACCUAUAAGACUGGGAUAACUCCGGGAAACCGGGGCUAAUACCGGAUAAUAUUUUGAACCGCAUGGUUCAAUAGUGAAAGACGGUUUCGGCUGUCACUUAUAGAUGGACCCGCGCCGUAUUAGCUAGUUGGUAAGGUAAUGGCUUACCAAGGCGACGAUACGUAGCCGACCUGAGAGGGUGAUCGGCCACACUGGAACUGAGACACGGUCCAGACUCCUACGGGAGGCAGCAGUAGGGAAUCUUCCGCAAUGGGCGAAAGCCUGACGGAGCAACGCCGCGUGAGUGAUGAAGGUCUUCGGAUCGUAAAACUCUGUUGUUAGGGAAGAACACAUUUGU
rnacentral:rRNA from 2 species